rnacentral:lncRNA from 1 species
CUCUGAGGGAGUCAGUGUGCUCUCAGAAUCCAGUCCUGUGGGCAAGCAGGAGGCGUAGUCUUUCUUCCCUUCCUUUCCCUAAGCUCACCAAGCUGUUCUUUUGAAACUUAUGACCAUCGCCCCAUCAAACCUUCUUCAACUUAAAGUCCAGGGCUGACCUGGGAGCCCUGCUUUGUUGGUAACGGGGAACACAAAAGCUGAAAAUGCCUGGAAGAGUGUGGCUUCCUGUAGCUGCAGGCCAGAGAUGUAACACCUGGGGCACUGGGUGGACCACAGAAAUAUGUUUGAUGAGAAAACUGCUAUUCUCCAUUUCUCUUCGUUGUUCUGAGCCAGGUCUCUGCCUCUUUCCUAGGGAGGAAAUUUGGUAGCAAGUGUCAGAAAAGUUAACGUCUAAGAUUGGAAUAGGUUCCUAGGGGAUGAAGGUGGGGAUGGUCAUCUCCCUUUCUACCAAACUUAGAGACAUAACGUGAUGACUCUCUUACCAUCCUUCACCCUCGCAUCUCUAGAAAGGACGAUUUUGGGGUAGCCCAGCAGCUGUAGCCUUAAGUGAAAUCGGGAGGAAAUUAUAGUUUAUCUUGGGUGUCCUCCUUUCUUUUCUGUGCCUCUCCCCUGUCCCUUUGCAUUGUUCUCUUCUCCUUCCAAGUUAUUUCUGUCCAGGAGAUUAUGUCCUCCAUCUGCUCUACCCAGAAGUGCCCAGACAGACCUCCUGGGGCAGGAGCACAUACUAGAAAAGGACUACACCUUUCUGCUUCUUCCACACUUCAUCACUACUCUGGUUCCUUUGGGGGGUUUAUCCUAGCUGGUAGUUAGGAGAAAAGCAUCUAAUUAAGAUAAUUCAAAUUAAAGUCAUGAAAAUGCUCUUCUUAAAGAGCUUGGCUAUUUCCCCAUACUCCUAAAAAUAGCCAACAUAGGCUACCCAAUUGGGCUGACAUGGGGGAAUCUUCUUUAAACCGUGACUCUCUCCUCUUUCUCCCUUUUAUAGUCUACAGUCUCUGUAGGCAACUUUAGAGAAGGCCAGACUCUCUUCCCUCCUCUCAUGCCUCACUGAGAAAUUUCCCAGAAAUUUAAGCUGGAAGCUAGGAAAUAACCCCAGUAAUGGUUUCCUGAAAUGCACUGGGCAUUUUCAACUUGACAGGUCCUUGAGUGAGUGUCUACAUCUCUGUAGCAGGAAGUUGCCAUGAUCCUUAUCACUCUUCCCUGGUCCCCUCAUAUCCCCAGAAAUCCAGAGCUUCCAGAAACAGAGUAGAUUGUUGACCUCAGGAGAAAGUAGAUGCAAUGGACUGUUUGUGAUGAGGGGGGAUUCGAUAAUCUCCUGGAACAGAAAUAAUGAAGAUGCAGGCCAGCCUUUACCAUUUAUGACCUGUUUUCUUGGUCUGAUUUGCCCCUUUGGGAGAAACUUAGGGGGCAGGAGCACAAGAAUGGGGGCCCAUAAACACGCCUCAUGUUCUCUGAAGUAAGGUUAAGAGGCAGCCUAGAUAAAAGCUCUCUUUCUGCUUGUCAGAGGCUACAGAGAUGGUGUGGUUCAGGUGUCUGUCACGGUUAAUUUCAUGGGUCAACUUGACUGGGUUAAGGGAUGCCCAGAUAGCUGGUAAAACAUUAGUUCUGAGGGUGCUUCUAGAAAAUAUUAACAUUUGAAUUGGAAGAUUGAUUUGAAGAAGUCAUGGUAAAGAAUCCUCACCAAUGUGGUUGGGCAUCAUCUAAUCCACUCAGGGCUCAAAUAGGGCAAAAAGGAAGAGGAAGAGUGAAUUUGCCCUCUGCUUGAGCUGGGAUAUCCUCUUCUCCUGCACUUGGACAUAGGCGCUCCUGGUUCUCAGGCCUUUAGACUUAGACCAGGACUUACACCAUCGGCCCCCUGAGUUUCAGGCCUUUGGACUCAGACUUACACCACUGGCUCCUCUGGUCCUCAGACUUUCGAAUGGGGACCAAAUUACACCAUUGGUUUUCUUGGUUCUCCAGCUGGCAGACUGUGGGACUUCUCGGCCAAUUCCUGUCAUCAAUCUUUCCAUAUAUCUGUAUCUCUAUCUAUGCAUCUAUAUCUAUAUUUUUAUUUAUCCUAUUGGUUCUGUUUCUCUGGAGAACUCUGACUAAAACAGCAUCUCUACAUAAUUUCCCCCAAAUCAAUAAGGGACUAAAUGGAGCUGAAGUUCUUAUUCUCCAUUUCAGUUUACUUCCUUAAGCAAAUGUGGAAUGUUGCGGAAGACAGAUCUUGUAUAUUCAUUAGGAUUUUGUCAGCUUAAAAGGCAAGAAGGGAGGGAUUUGUUGACUUGUGUACCAGGAAAUCUAAAACAUGACUCUUCAGAGGUGACUGGGUUUAGGGGUUUAAAUAAUGUCGUUAGCUCUGUCUCCCCAUCGUUGGCUUGUUUGCCCCUGUGUUGGCUUCAUUCCCAGGUAGGCUUUCCCCACCUUCUGGACAAGAUGGCCUCCAGCGGCAGUGGCUAUUACUUUGUUUAUGUCUUUCCCACUAUUCAAAAGUAUUCCUGUCCCUUCAAAAGGCCGAUAGGCCUGGCUUGGUCCAAGGGUCCUUACCUGAAGCGACCAUUACAGCUGGGAGGAUGAAGUCCCUGAUGGCUAGCUCACAUCUUGAGCCUGCCAUGUUCGGGAAGACCAGGCAGGGGAUUGGCCAUCCGGUUAGGUAGAGGAGGAACAAUUCUCAAAAGGAAAAUAUACUGGCAGAUAAAAAGUAACAUAUCCAUACAGUUUUAUACUAGCUCAAAAGCUAAUUCAAAUGAACAAGCAAUAGGGCGAGAGAUGUGAGCAAUACAGAGAUUUAUAAGACAGGCUUUUUGUCCUUAAAGAGCAUAUAAUCUAGUUGUUCUGGAAGUUGGCCACAUUCUUUAUUUAAUAAUUUGAGGAAACAUGAAUGACUUCAUUGGAAAAUAUUUUCUGAGUUCUUACUUAAUGCCGGGCAUCAUGCUAGAUUCCUGUCAUACAAGGAAGAAAGACAAACCUCUUCCCACGAGGAGCUUACAGUCAGAUGGAGUAGAGUGAGCCAGACCGGAGGCACGAGGAGUAGUGAGAAGGCUGCUGUGGGAGAGGGCGGAAGAUAUGAAGAGGACUUCCUCACAGAGAAUGCCAGCUCGUAAAGUAGGAGAACUAGCAAAAUCACCAUUUUACAACCCCGAUUAAGGUGAUGCUGGAGAAUUGGGGAAUGAAGUGUCUUGAUAUCGUCAACCUACUUUCAAAUGGCUCCAGAAAAUGUUUAAGAUGUUAAGGAGAGACUGUAACAGGAGUAACUCGCGGACUCUUCCGAUGAUUUCUACUGCCCUUGGAAACCUCCGUAUCACUCCUGCAAUUCCUAACACCUGAUUCUUCUCGUCUCAGAGCAAGAGGGGAGAAGAGCCUUGGCUCAAGGUUGAAGCGGGGCUGGGCAUGUCCUAGGAACACGGCUCCUCCGCGGGGAAUGCGCCUGAGAGCUGGGCUGUCAGUUGGCAGGGAUGUUGUUAUCAGCACUCUGCUGUUCAACUUCACUAUUUGUUCCAAAAAUGGUCAUUGUGAUAACUCAGAAUUAAAUCUCUGGCUGUCCCUUUAACCAUGUGGUUAGCGGCCUGAAUUGCUUAUCCCCAGAGCUGCCUGUGGGUCAUGGGGAGAAAAAACAAGGACAGUGUGUUUCCUUGACUCAGACAAGCUUGCUCCAGGCCAAUGUGGUGACACACUUGUCUCCCUUCCAUUAUCUGGGGCCUGACCCCAGCAUGACACAUUUCCCCGGCCUGAGGCUAGAGGUGUCAGACAGAUCCCGGCUCCAAACAGAAGGUCA